UAUUUGAAGUGUUCACAACAUUAUGUUUAGGUCUUUCUACAAACGAUGUUCCCCCCCCCCAUUGGAUGCAUGUGGAAUAAAUCGUGGCCUGUUGGCCAAAAGCUAAAAUUUUUGUUAAGUUUAUUUUUUAAAAUGUCAGAGUUGGAGAGGACGGCGUUAUCCUUGUAAGUCGGUAUCUUUGAUGGAAUAGGUCGGAGUUUUUAUUGUUCCAGUCGGUCUCUAUGAUCGUUUCGGCAUCUGUUUGCCGUAACACUUCUUCAAAAUUCAAACCCCAUAAAUGUUCAGUGCAUAAAACUAACCCAGUUUCACGAAAAAUAAAUCAUACUAUAAAUCUAACACGAAUAGAUGAAAUAUUAAUAGUAAGCAGGAGAUGACAACUGUCCCCAAAAAUUGGGAUUGUACCGUGCUUUACAUUGUACCUGAAUAUAUAUAUUUUUUUACUAGGUGUUUACGCCAACAGUACAUACGUAAAUAGAUUGUACUUUUAAUCUCAAGCAGCUGUUCUUCCUUUAAUCUCCUCCGCUUACGCGAGCCAAUCUCACUUCUCAUUGAACGAUCCACUCACUCCUUCUAUUCUCUCCGGCGUUUUCGGUAUUUAAACUUGUGCCAGUGAUUUAACUGUUUUUUUGGUUCAACCCGAAAUUAAUACUACCAAGAAAAUUAGCCGAAGCUGUACACCGGAGACUACGACGGACUCGGGACCAAAGUUGCGUCGCCGCUGUGAAUCCGACAAGUUUCAGCAAGUACGUUCAUCGAGGCCAACUGGACACCACAUUGUGAAACGGGAAGGAAAAACUGAAUUUACGUCAUGAGAGGAUCUUCGGAAGAGGUCAAAACAGAGAAAACU